rnacentral:tRNA from 1 species
GGCUCUGUAGCUCAGUCGGUAGAGCAGUGGCCUGAAGAGCCUCGUGUCAGCCGGUUCGAUUCCGCUUGGAGCCA